rnacentral:lncRNA from 1 species
AUUUUUAAAACAAAUCCAUAGUAUGGAUGAUAUUGAUGAUGAAAUGUCUUACGAUGAUCAUUUAGAGGUUUAUUUUGAACAACUGGCAAUUCCACGAAUGAUGGAAUAAAACAUAUGAAGUAGAAGGACUGGAACCUCCAGAAAAAGUACUUUAAGUUACCUACAGGUGAUCCUAGUCAGGCAAAUGAAAACAGUAGCCUAAAGUGUCAGUUUCAACCAGAAAAUAACAGCUCUGAUUUCUCAUGGCUCACACUCUUCUGAAACGACUCGGGUAGAGGCUGAGGAAGGCCGUGUUGUUUGUCUACCUGGGACUAGAAACAAUCAUAACAAGAAUAAGAAGCAAGCCGGGUGCGGUGGCUCAUGCCUGUAAUUCCAGCACUUUGGGAGGCCGAGCUGGGAGGAUCACUUGAGCCCAGGAGUUUGAGACCAACCUGGGUAACAUAAUGAGACCUUACAAAAAAAAAUAAAAUUAAAUUUCAAAAACAUAAUUAGAUACCAGUGUAUCCCCAGCAGAUUGACACAAAUUAAAAGUCAACAGUAUCCUGUGUUGGUGAAGACAUACAGCAACUGGAAGUCUCCUGUGCAUGUUAGCCAUGUUUAUACCUUUCAUCUCAGCAGUUUCACUCUUAACGAUAUAUGCUAGAGAAACUCUUACUCAUGUGCUCCACAGACAGGUAGGAGGGCCCAAGGUAACCUUGUUUGUAAUUAAGAAAAAAUAAAAACAGGAAACAAGCCAAGUGUCCAAUGGGAUAAUGGAUUAGUAAAUUGUGAUACACAAUGAAACUGCAUAUGUGCGCACAUCAACAUGAACGAACCCUCCAAACAUAAUGUUGAGGAAAAAACAAGCAAAUCAC